AUAACAUGAUUGUUUGAGCAGAAAUAUGAGAACAUGAUAUAUCGUAGCUGCAGCCCCCUUCACCCGGUGCCAAACACUCGCAGUGAUCACAUGAACAGGAGCGUGUAUCAGCCUUCCUGAUUCCUCCGCUCGCGACAGGAGGACGUCACGCUCCGAGCCCGACGCUCCGCCGUGAAACCGAGAGCGCUGUUUUGUCAGUAGAUUGGGGAGGUUGUGUGCUGGGAUCUUUCAUCAGGAAGGCAACGUGUUCCUAAUGCUUGUUCCACGCAGAGGAAUUGAUGGACGUGUCACCGACUCCUGUCACGGGAGACACGGCAACAGCUGAUGGUCUUCCCAUGAAGCAGCUGCUGAUGGUCUGUGUGAUAAUGGAACCAUAAAGGAGCCAAAUAGAGGUUUUGAAGACCUUGCUUUUGUAUAAAAAUACAAGGUCCUGUCCAUGGGAUCGUUCGUUGCCUUGUACAUAGAGCAGAGAGUAGCCAUCAUAUAUGAGUGAGGUUCCAUGGGGACAAAGUGGAACAUCGACAGAUUGGCUGUGACGAGUUACAAGGAAUCCAUGAUCCAUGGAAGAGGGUCCAGGUGGACCGACUUGACCAGGAACACCAUCAGGUCCCGGAGGGCCAGGGUGACCUCUGGGUCCUAAAGACACAGAGUAACUACAGUAAUAAUUUCUAAACAGGAAAGAAACUAACUAAAUAUUAGAGCUUUGUUUAGGAUGCCUCUGACCUUGUGGCCCCUGUGGACCAGGCUCUCCUUUGGCUCCAGCUUGACCGUGAUAUCCAGGAAUUCCUUCUUCACCUUUUGGUCCAGGAAUACCUGUCAAACCUGUAAAAAAGUAACAAAAAUGAUGAAGCAUACUGAGGAAACAUCAUAAAUAGAUUAUUGUGAAAUAAUAUACAUAUAUAAAAAACAAUAUUGCAUAAUAAUUUUUUUUAUUACAUUAAUUACAUUUUCUUUGUAUUUAAAUGCUGGUGUGAGAGAGAAUUACAUUUAAUUCAUUCAUUGUUUAUUAAUUGUUUAUUUUUUCUAGCAAUACCUUAGAUUAAGUGGGUUCAUACAUUUUUAGAUUAUUACCUUGCUGUCCUUUCUCUCCGGGAAAACCUGCUGGCCCCUGAGGACCUGGAAAACCUGGAACUCCAUGGGGUCCAAUGUCUCCCUUAGUAAAGGUAUGGGGACCAGGUGGACCAGGAGGCCCUUCAUGACCUGAAAUAUGCAGGGCCCUCCAGAGAAGCGCCUGGGAUCCCUAUUUCUCCAGUCUUCCCCUGUGGUCCCUGCAGGCCUGGAAGUCCUUUGUCACCUUUGGUACCAGGGACACCUGGGUGGCCUGGAGUGCCAGGGAAGCCUGGACUACCUUUGUCACCUGCAAAGAGAAAGCAAAGCCAAGUUGAACACUAUGAGCUAAUGAUUAAGACAUGCAGCAGUGAUGGAGUGGACCUCACCUUUGCUACCUGUUCCUCCUGCCGGCCCAGGGAAGCUUCGACCAGGAAGUCCAUCCCUGCCUGAUAACCCUGGUGGCCCUGGCUGUCCUUUAGUGCCUGGGGGUCCUGGGAAGCCUUGCGUUCCUUUUUCUCCCUGAGGUCCUGGCAUGUCCGAACCAGGAACACCAGGAAAGCCCUUUUCUCCCUUUACACCUUCCCUACCUGUCCAGCAUGUACACAUCCAUUGCAUUAAUGCUAUACUGAUAUAUUCAAGUAAGCAAAAAUGCACGUAUAACACUCUCACAGCUGACAUUUUGAGUUGGAGGAGUGCUGUGUUUGUGCUCACCUUGUGGUCCAGGCUCUCCAGCUGGUCCUUGUGGUCCCUGGGGUCCGGGAGCACCUUUUCCUGGUGGACCUGGUGAGCCAACAUUACCUGGCAGUCCUGGGGGUCCCACAUCACCUAAAAAAGAAAAUAUAUUAUAUAGUAUUGUGUUUGUGACAGGUAAUAGACAUUUUACAAUAAAAUUCACUAAAUUAAAAAUGAAGCUUAUACAAAAAUCCUGUAGUACCUUUGAUUCCCUGAGGUCCUGGUGGUCCUGUCUGGCCUUCUCGUCCAGGAACUCCAGGUGGUCCACUACUACCUUUUUCUCCUUUGAAUCCAGUAACUCCUGGGAGGCCCUGAGACCCUUUUGGACCUGGGAGACCCCGUCCUGGUUCACCCUGCAAAAUAUUAGUGUUUUGUACUGUAUGUGUCCAUACAAUGUUCAUACAAUACAUGAUAUGAUACUGUUGUUGUUUGACAGUAAAGCAGUGGGACUACUACAUCUUUCAAUACAGAAUUGUAUUGAAAUUAAUUAUGAUGUACAAAUUUAAGCAAAUACAUACUUUUUGUCCAGGUGGACCAGUAUGUCCAGUCAAACCAUCAUGCCCAGGUGCUCCUCGUUCCCCUGGUAAUCCUGGUGCUCCUGGAAUUCCACUUAUUCCUGGAAACAUAAUUUUGGGGUGUAAAUAUGUACGCAAUAUCUGUGAUGCAUGUUUGGUAGGAAGUAUAAGAGACCACAUAGAGUAAAUCACCUUUAGGACCAGUUGGGCCUGGAAAUCCAAUUCCAGAAGGUCCUUGUUCACCCUUCUCUCCAGGAAAACCUGGCAAGCCUUGAUCUCCCGGCAGACCUCGGAUACCUGUAGUCAUCAUCAUGUAGGAUGUUAAACGAGCAUGUAAAAAUUUCAUAUCUUAUAGCAUACAGUAUUUGCACCUUGACAAUACGUUUUUGAGGUAUUUAUAUAAAUUAUUUUUUAACCCAAGAAGGUAACACUUUAAGUUAAAUGAAUUUAAUUAAGCAAAGGACUUGCUCACCUGGAGCUCCAGGAAUUCCAGCCACUCCUGGUGGUCCAGGUUCACCUUGAGGCCCAGGAAUGCUCUGACCUUCUCCAGGCUCACCUUUUGUACCUGGCAGACACAAUUUGAAAAUCAAAUAUGAACUGUUCUCCAGAUUGUGAUUUUAACUUGUUUUUUCUCCCUUUAUUGUCAAAUGAUGACCUACCAUACCAUAACAAAUAUGUAAUUUACAAUGCCUACCUGGUUUUCCAGGAGAACCAGGUGUUCCUGGUCUGCCUUGACUGCCUUUCUCGCCAGGCUCUCCUGGGCGACCAAAGCCUGGCUGUCCAGGGGGACCCCUCUCUCCUGGGGGUCCAAUACGACCAGGAUCUCCAUCUGGUCCACGCUCACCUUUGAUGCCCUCUUUGGCCUAAAUGGGAGAGUAAAAAAGGGUGAUUGCAGAAACAGAAAGAAAUGGGCAAAAAGCCAGAGUAUAUAGGCAUUUGACAAGCGGUUCAAUCAUUUCUGGCUUGUGACUGAAUGGUGGACCUCCCAAAAUAUUACCUUAUUACACAACUGACCCACACACACUUACAGGUUCUCCUUUAAGGCCGGGUACACCAGGGUGGCCAUCUCUCCCUGGCUGUCCAUCCAGACCUGGUCUCCCUGGUGAACCAUCAGGACCAGGAAGACCUUUAUCUCCCUUCAGACCAGGAGCUAUGAAAAUGUCCCCUGGCUCACCAACAGCGCCAGGAUUCCCCCUUAAACCUGGACUACCUGCCGAACCCUGCACACAGGCAAAAAGUGAAUUAUGCCCACAUAUUAUAUAUAUUUUUAAAAAAAUCAUAUAUUGUAAUAUUUAUUUUGAUAUUGGUAAAUCUUUCUCAACAAAACUACAAAUAUACACUAAUCUAAUAGCUUCAAAAUGUCAAAAAUGUAUGAAAUUAUUGGACUCACAGGUUUUCCAGGUUGUCCAGGAAAACCAGGUUGGCCUUUGUCUCCCUUGCUUCCCACUAGCCCAGGAGGGCCUGCCAAUUUAAAAUGGACAUUGUUAAUCCUUAGUCGGUUGAAUAGUUAAUAUGUGUUAAUAAAAUAAAAUGGAUAAAUAUCUGAUCUUGGACAUUGCCUACUGUAAAGUGCUGAGUUCAGCAACUCUGUUGCUGAAACUCAGUUUCCACCAAAAAAAGACCCCUUUAGAUGUCAACUUACACAACACAACACAACACAACACUAUAACAUAUGGACUUACCCUGCUCUCCUUUUGACCCCUUGGGACCAGGUAAUCCAGGUUCCGGGAAACCGUUGCAGUCAAAACAAGUAUCGCCUUUGUUACCUAAACGAAAAUACACUAAAGUCAGUUCAAAAAUAUUCAUCUAGGGGAGGCUAAACCAGUGCUCAAGACUAUUACAGUAAUUAAUAAACUACUUAUAAUGAUUGGUAAUGACAGGUGUCAUUGUUACCUUUCUGUCCCACUUCCCCUUGUAACCCUGGAGGACCAGGUGGCCCUUUCGUAAUGUUACAUCCGGGGUCAGCUGUAAAGCAAUGUGGCAGCACGCACACACAAAUAUUAACACACAAUACAUAUAUUAACACAUAGUAUGUACAUAUAGACUUUUGUUCAUUAUUUUAAUAUUUGCAGUAUUGACACAUAAAUAGGACAUACGAGGGGGCCCUGGUGGACCAGGGGGUCCAAGGUCUCCUGGUUGUCCUGGAGGUCCAACAAGGGACUCUCCUUCUAAACCUCUGUCUCCUUUCUCUCCAGAUUCUCCUUUCUGACCCUUCUCUCCACGAGGUCCUUCAAUGAACCGUCCUGAAAAACAAGAUGAAAAAUAAAGUCAGUGUUUGGUAGUUCG